CGCGCCGUGAGGCCCCGCAGCCGGCGGCACACCUGGCCCAGGCGGCCCAGGCCGCGCGCGUCCAGGAAUCCAGAGUGCUAACGACAUGCAUCUCCUGACCCAAAAUGGACAGAGGUCCUUCUGCGCAGGGUGGAGCAGGCAAAUAAUAAAUUGUCUAAUUGCU